rnacentral:rRNA from 1 species
AUGUCAAGAGAGGACGGGGUGGACCCGAAGAACUGGAGUAGGCAUCUUGAUCAAGAAGAGCCUCAAAUAUGGAGUGGUAGACGUCAAGAAACGUGUGGACCGGAUUAUCUUGGUCAAGCUGGUAGUUGGGACUUAGUUCUCAAUGUUAUCAGCGUGUAUGCCCCGCAAGUAGGCCACAAUGAGAAAACCGAGAGGGAGUUCUGGGAAGGCCUGGAGGACAUGGUUAGGAGUGUACUGAUUGGCGAGAAGAUCUUCAUAGGAGAAUACCUCAAUGGCCACAUGGGUACACAUCUAACACAUGUUUUGAAGGGGUGCAUGGGGGCUUUGGCUAUCGCAUCAGGAAUCAAGAAGGAGAAGAUAUCUUAA